UACGGGGGGGGGUAAGCGUUGUUCGGAAUUACUGGGCGUAAAGGGCUCGUAGGCGGCCAACUAAGUCAGACGUGAAAUCCCUCAGCUUAACUGGGGAACUGCGUCUGAUACUGGAUGGCUUGGAUUCGGGAGAGGAAUGCGGAAUUCCAGGUGUAGCGGUGAAAUGCGUAGAUAUCUGGAGGAACACCGGUGGCGAAGGCGGCAUUCUGGACCAACACUGACGCUGAGUGAGCGAAAGCCAGGGGAGCAAACGGG
rnacentral:rRNA from 1 species